GCUUGCUUGUUGGGGUUGUAGGACACUCUAUACGGAGUUACAAAGGACGACAUUAGACGAAUCAUCUGGAAAGAUGAAUCAAAGAAGGUAAUAAUCCUGUAGUCGAAAAUGUUGUCUCUCUUGAGUGGAUCCUGAGUACGACGGAGCACGUGAAAUUCCGUCGGAAUCUGGGAGGACCAUCUCCUAAGGCUAAAUACUCUCUAGUGACCGAUAGUGAACCAGUACCGUGAGGGAAAGGUGAAAAGCACCCCGGAAGGGGAGUGAAAUAGAACCUGAAACCGUGUGCUUACAAGUAGUCAGAGCCCGUUAAUGGGUGAUGGCGUGCCUUUUGUAGAAUGAACCGGCGAGUUACGAUUUGAUGCAAGGUUAAGCAGUAAAUGUGGAGCCGUAGCGAAAGCGAGUCUGAAUAGGGCGUUUAGUAUUUGGUCGUAGACCCGAAACCAGGUGAUCUACCCUUGGUCAGGUUGAAGUUCAGGUAACACUGAAUGGAGGACCGAACCGACUUACGUUGAAAAGUGAGCGGAUGAACUGAGGGUAGCGGA
rnacentral:rRNA from 1 species